GUUUUGCACUAGCAGGAGACGCGCCACUGAAGUCAUGCAAAACACGGAACGGAUUUUGCGGACCGAACACUAGGCCUAUUUAUUUGUAGGUUAAUCUGGGUCAAAGCUUAAAUAAACAGCGGUGCACGCUCCAACUCCGCACUGAAAACGCCAUCAUGGUUAGUGUCUGUCUUUGACUGAAGGUGUACGGCCUAGAUAAUGUAGAUGUCGUCCUUGAUGUGUCUUUGGAAUUUUUUUACUUUUCUUCCUCCUUUCUUCCUCUUCAGAGGUCACUGGUUCUUGGUGUGCUCCUGUGUGCUCUACCUUCAAUGCUCAACGCUGCAUGUUUUGUGGCUCAGACUAAAGCCAAGACCCAUUGUUGGGACAGCGCAGAUGAGACGUGGUAUGCUGUGGGUUCCAACUGGAAAAACCGCAACUGCAUGAAAUGUAGUUGUCACUCUGGCAUCAUAUUAGAAACGCGCUGCUGCCACGGGUAUCCAACUGGUAUUACAAUCCCGGAUGACUGUGUCUCUGAGUUUGAUCAGAAAACAUGUCGACAUAUUAUACAUAAAAAGGAUGAUCCAUCCACUGAGUGUAGGAUCAUCAGCGCUGUGGGAUAAAGUUGUAGUUCUUUAUGUUACUGUGAAGUGAAUGAAAUUAUGUAAUCUCAUGUAAGGUGUGUCAAUAAUCAUAUCUGAUGCUUUGGAAACGUGAUCAGUUGAAUAAAGCACAUUUAAACAUUUGG